UAUUUUUUCUCUCGCCAGAUCAUCACAAAUUCCCAACCCCAUCAACAACCAAAUCCCAACCCCUCGCCGGAUUCAUCGCCUGGAUUCAUAACCACCAACGACCGCCGUUGGAUUCAUCGCCAUCAACCACCGACGCCCUUCACCACCAUCUCCGCCCUUCACCAUCAUCGCCCUCAACACCAUUGGCACUGCAAAUCUUUAAUUGUGUGACGACAUGUUUAAUUGAUUAUUUAUCCGGAUCGAUUGUUUUCUAUAACUUGAUUAACAAUUUUGAAUUAGUCGCUGCAAAAUCUUUAACUUGAUCAAUUAUUUUUUUUAUAUAAGGAAAGAUGGGAGAAUAUAUCUUGAAGCCAUAAACAAAUUGUUCUGAAUUAUUUGCGCAUCUGCAGAUAGAUGAAGAAAUUAACAGCUCUACAGCACCACCACCACAACUCAACCAUUUGUUGCGCCAUCAACAUAUGUGUCGCCUCCGCCUCCGCUACCACCACUGUGAUCUUUAUUCUUUAUCUUCUUUAACCAAGGGAUGUAGUAUAAAAUGUAUUUUCGUAAUUAUUUAGGAUCCUAUCUAUCUUCAAUAGUGUAUAUUAUAAACGUUGUUCUCACUUUCUUAAUUACAGGCAACGAUGAAGACAUGUAACUCGGCAACCAGUUUUAUUCAUGGUUAGUACCAUGUUAGUAUUCAUUAUUAUGAAUGUCAAAAUUAUGUUUUAGGCUAAUCCCUGUUGAAAGCUAUCCAUUGUGACAAUAUUUGAAAUGGAAGCCGCACUCAAGUUAAUGGUGAAUUGGAGGUGAUUUCCAUCUAAAUGUUUAGAAUGAAGAGAUUUAUCACAGAAAUACUGUAGACAUGUUUUCGAUAUAGAGGUACAAAUCUAUACAUCCAUGUAUCUUAGCAAAUUCAUUGUUUAAAGUUUAAAACUUUUCUAUGUGGUUCAAAAUGAAUCUGUAUUUUACAGUUUGUAAGGUACAUGAGGAGGAUGUUGACACAAUGAAGACCUACAGCUAACAAUCAAUGGUAUAACACCAUUGGUGUAACCGAGCUAAUAAACUUCAAAUAUUCAGCAAAAUUGGAUUUUAUGACAUUGCUAUAUCUUCUUGAUACCGAAGGUGAAAAGGCUUUAGAAGUUGUUGGAUCUUGCUGUCCAUUACUUGGAUAACUUAGUCUACUUCCAUCCGCCCCGUUUAACUAACAAAUUUUCAUGAAGGCCAUAUUGAGUACAGUAUUUACAAUUUGUUCACCACACUUACAAACAUUGACUACACUGUUGAUUUGUUAGUCAAGUUUGUCAACCGAUGUUCCUGAUCAAGGAUAUACCCUUGGUUUCGUUUCAAGUGGUGUCUAAGGUAAUAUGAGGAGUGUGGGACAGAGGUGGUUACAACAUGGAGGUCAUUGGUUUUACUCCUAAAGUAAGAGAACAAGUUGACAAGGUGGCAUCUGUGAGAUGUUAUAACCCUUAUAAAACCUGGCACCGUUCUAGCUCUUGCUAUCACAACCCUCAAUCAUGAUGGCAAAUGACCUUCUUUUACCUUGACAUCUUGACCUAUUGUUUCUACUUUGUUAGGAUCCCAUGGAAUGAGAAAUAGGAUGUCGUGAUUGACAGGUACUAUAUAAAUAUUUAAUGUUUUUUGAAUAUUGACAUUUUGGGAAGGUUCCAUGUUGACAAAACAGAGGAAGAAGAAGAAUUAAAAGAGUGAGUUAGUUUUGAGCAUUACUGGGAUAUAAUAGACUGGUUUAGGAUUGACCAUAGCACUCGACCAGUCAGUGCUUUUUUUGUCAGUUUGUGUCGAUUUUGGAAAUACCUCGAUGUGGCAAUGUUAUAUGAUCAAAGAAACUAUAUUAGUUGUAUUCUAAUUAAUAAACUUUCAUGUUUUUUGUUGUUGGACGUCAAUAAAUAAUGGUAAUUUUCACGGGUUA